ACGUUGAAACACCAGUUUCCAUAAUUUCACCGAAGUUAAGAGACAUCGAACCUGAUCAGUACCUAAAUGGGUGACUUCUUGGGAAUACCAAGUGCUGUAAG